AGAGUUUGAUCCUGGCUCAGGAUGAACGCUGGCGGCGUGCCUAAUACAUGCAAGUCGAACGAACUUCCGUUAAUUGAUUAUGACGUACUUGUACUGAUUGAGAUUUUAACACGAAGUGAGUGGCGAACGGGUGAGUAACACGUGGGUAACCUGCCCAGAAGUAGGGGAUAACACCUGGAAACAGAUGCUAAUACCGUAUAACAGAGAAAACCGCAUGGUUUUCUUUUAAAAGAUGGCUCUGCUAUCACUUCUGGAUGGACCCGCGGCGUAUUAGCUAGUUGGUGAGGUAAAGGCUCACCAAGGCAGUGAUACGUAGCCGACCUGAGAGGGUAAUCGGCCACAUUGGGACUGAGACACGGCCCAGACUCCUACGGGAGGCAGCAGUAGGGAAUCUUCCACAAUGGACGCAAGUCUGAUGGAGCAACGCCGCGUGAGUGAAGAAGGGUUUCGGCUCGUAAAGCUCUGUUGUUAAAGAAGAACGUGGGUAAGAGUAACUGUUUACCCAGUGACGGUAUUUAACCAGAAAGCCACGGCUAACUACGUGCCAGCAGCCGCGGUAAUACGUAGGUGGCAAGCGUUAUCCGGAUUUAUUGGGCGUAAAGCGAGCGCAGGCGGUCUUUUAAGUCUAAUGUGAAAGCCUUCGGCUCAACCGAAGAAGUGCAUUGGAAACUGGGAGACUUGAGUGCAGAAGAGGACAGUGGAACUCCAUGUGUAGCGGUGAAAUGCGUAGAUAUAUGGAAGAACACCAGUGGCGAAGGCGGCUGUCUGGUCUGCAACUGACGCUGAGGCUCGAAAGCAUGGGUAGCGAACAGGAUUAGAUACCCUGGUAGUCCAUGCCGUAAACGAUGAUUACUAAGUGUUGGAGGGUUUCCGCCCUUCAGUGCUGCAGCUAACGCAUUAAGUAAUCCGCCUGGGGAGUACGACCGCAAGGUUGAAACUCAAAAGAAUUGACGGGGGCCCGCACAAGCGGUGGAGCAUGUGGUUUAAUUCGAAGCUACGCGAAGAACCUUACCAGGUCUUGACAUCUUCUGACAGUCUAAGAGAUUAGAGGUUCCCUUCGGGGACAGAAUGACAGGUGGUGCAUGGUUGUCGUCAGCUCGUGUCGUGAGAUGUUGGGUUAAGUCCCGCAACGAGCGCAACCCUUAUUACUAGUUGCCAGCAUUAAGUUGGGCACUCUAGUGAGACUGCCGGUGACAAACCGGAGGAAGGUGGGGACGACGUCAAAUCAUCAUGCCCCUUAUGACCUGGGCUACACACGUGCUACAAUGGAUGGUACAACGAGUCGCGAGACCGCGAGGUUAAGCUAAUCUCUUAAAACCAUUCUCAGUUCGGACUGUAGGCUGCAACUCGCCUACACGAAGUCGGAAUCGCUAGUAAUCGCGGAUCAGCAUGCCGCGGUGAAUACGUUCCCGGGCCUUGUACACACCGCCCGUCACACCAUGAGAGUUUG
rnacentral:rRNA from 1 species